UGGAUUCUCCAGGCAAGAAUAUUGGAGUGGAUUGCCAUGCCUUCCUCCAAGGGAUCUUCCCGGUCCAGGGAUUGAACCCACAUCUCCUACAUCGUCUGCAUUAGCAGGUGAAGAGAGAUUAAAACAUCUGAAUCACAGAGGAAGUUGUUGGCAGUGCUGAAAGUGGGAUCCAAGCUUUGUGAGUCCAAGUCUGGUUACAAAGAAUGGGGAAGCCUCGUACCACCUCACUGACUUGCACCAGGCAAAGGAACCCCUGGGGGAGAUACUUGUGUUCCCUCCACCAACAUCCGAUGCAUUAAGAGCCCAUUUAUAAGGAAAACAGAGCUGGACUCUGUUCUAGACACACUCACUCUUGGAACCAUGCUCAGGCCACCUGGAGAAGUGUCCUGUCGAUGCUCUGGCUGACGGUCCCAGUAGGGCUCCCAGCAUCAACCUCCAGGCAAGUGAAAGAAUGAGUUGUUCCAUGAUUCCAGUUCCCUGCCUCUGAGUUUUCCAGCCAAGGCCUUCGAAUUUGAGGAGCAGAACCAAGUCAGCUUUGCUAUGCCCCAUAUGAAUUCCUGACCUGUAGGAACCACGAGGUAACAAAUGCUUAUUAUUGUCCUAAGAAUCUGAGUUUUGGGAUAAUUUACUCCAGUUUUUUGGUGAAUCCCUGGGGGUGUUUCAAACACGUCUCAUAAACAGUCUUCUCAGAAUGCCUCACUAUUGUCACUACUGCUAGGGCACUCGUGUGAUUAGAACCACGUUGGACCCGUUUGGAAACUUCAUAUGGAGCUGGAGAAUUUUGAUUAGUUGAGAGAAGAUGAAAAACCAUUACCUAAAAGAGGAAUUACAUGUGCCAUGAUUUGGCGAUUUAGGCAUGUAGAUAUAAGUGCUUUUCUGGGUCAUUUCGGAUAUGUAACUGGUUUCAUACUGGAGGUGGGGUAGGGGAAUUCAGUUGCAGUGGGAAGCUAGUGAAGCUCCCUUUAGGGUACAAACCACGGACAAUGUUACCCUUUUGCUGGUGCUUAUUAAGGCACAGGAUCUCAGCCUGCGUACUCCACAGUCUCUAUCCUUCUAGGGACCCUCCAGGGAAACUCUAGAGAAUGUGGUUUGAGGCACAAAAGGAGCCAAGAGAUCCAAUAUGUAUUUUUAGCGAGAGGGGUCAGGAUUCUACUACUGCUUCUGUAGUAGACUGGUUCAGAGUUUAGUUCAGACUGGUUCACAUUUAGAAUCUUACUUAACUGGAAGAAAUAGGAAACCUGAAGAAAUGGUGGCUUAAACAAAUGUGUUGUUGCUCUUAUCACCUCAUGUAAAAGAAAUCCAGUGGGAAGCAGGACAGAACUGGUAAGCAGUCCUGUGAUGUCAUC